CGAUAGGGAAAAUUGAAAGUUCUAUUUGAUUCUUCUCCAAUUUUUCCUCGUGUUUUCGCUCCUUUUGCUUAGUGUAAUAGUUGAUUCUCACUCAUCCUUUGUAUAUCAACUAUUGGAUUAAGCAAAAUCGGAGAGAAUCAAUGUGGGACCCGUAACAGCCAUGAAAAAGAAAAAGAAAAAGAGAUACUGAUAGGGACCAUCAUCAUGUAAGCAGCUCCUUCAUCAAUGCAAGUGGAGUCGCAACUGACCAGUAAACGCAGCCGGAGUUGGUCGCCGGAAACCAGAAACAGUGAGAAAGUCUUCACUCCAUAGGUUUACUUCCCCUCUCCUCUCCUGUAGCGGCCGCGAGAAAUAGAAGCAUUGAUGUAUUAUAGUCACCAAUGGAUCAUCGAUUCGUGUUGUGGAAUCACUCUUUUGCAAAUGCAAGGGCCGGUUAUAAUUACAUCUUUCUCGGGGAGGAAGAAAAGGAGAUUGCCCCUUCAAUGCAUGAAAAUGCAGCUUUUGGCAAAUCCAGUCUCCACUUUUCCAUCCUGGGGGAGAACUGCAAUCAGAUCCAUAUCCUCCAGAAUUCGCCAUGUUACCCCCAUAUCCAGAAGAAUAAUCAUGUUUAAAUGCACCACAUCUAUAGCAGUUUGAUCGGCUUGCAUAGUUGUGAGCUCCACAGUUCAUAGCGGUGCAAAACCAGUCCCCUGCCAAUGUCUCAGUCCUGCUAUAUCUAUAGGUUGAUGGGUCAGGGCCUCCAUACUUAGGGUAACCGCAAUUUUGGCAUGCUUCCCUCUUCUUGAAAUUUAUGUGUUCGCAAGCACAGCACAUCCAAUCUCCUCCAGACCAGCUCAUUUUCCUAUAUAUACAUGUAAAGUGUCAAGUGAUAAAUUUUAAGAAAUUUCAGUUUAAUCAAUUCUCAAUGCAGCUAUAGAUAAGAUUUUCACUUAACUCCCUGUGAAUGUAGCCUAGAAUUGACAUGAUAAUGGAAAAUAAUAAAAUCUUCUGUUAUAAGUUA